rnacentral:rRNA from 1 species
CUGCUGCCUUCCGUAGGAGUUUGGACCGUGUCUCAGUUCCAAUGUGGGGGACCUUCCUCUCAGAACCCCUACGCAUCGUCGGCUUGGUGGGCCGUUGCCCCACCAACUACCUAAUGCGCCGCAUGCCCAUCCGUGACCGGGGUCGCCCCCUUUGACCGGCAGGGGAUGUCCCCUCCCGGCAUUAUGUUGUAUUAGGCGGGAUUUCUCCCGGUUAUCCAUCUGUCACGGCCAGGUUGCAUACGUGUUACUCACCCGUGCGCCGGUCGCCGGCGG